GGAAACUCAAAGUGAUGGGGUGACCGA
rnacentral:piRNA from 1 species